rnacentral:rRNA from 1 species
GCUACGGGGGUCAGCAGUGGGGGAUAUUGCACAAUGGGGGAAACCCUGAUGCAGCGACGCCGCGUGUGGGAAGACGGUCUUCUGGAUUGUAAACCACUGUCCCCAGGGACGAAAAUGACGGUACCUGGGGAGGAAGCUCCGGCUAACUACGUGCCAGCAGCCGCGGUAAUACGUAGGGAGCAAGCGUUGUCCGGAAUUACUGGGUGUAAAGGGAGCGUAGGCGGGGAUGCAAGUUGGGUGUCAAAACUACCGGCUCAACCGAUAGUCGCACUCAAAACUGCAGCUCUUGAGUGAAGUAGAGGCAGGCGGAAUUCCUAGUGUAGCGGUGAAAUGCGUAGAUAGUAGGAGGAACACCAGUGGCGAAGGCGGCCUGCUGGGCUUUGACUGACGCUGAGGCUCGAAAGUGUGGGGAGCAAACAGGAUUAGAUACCCUAGUAGUC